UACGGGGGGGGCAAGCGUUGUUCGGAAUUACUGGGCGUAAAGGCUCGUAGGCGGCUGCGUAAGUCGGAUGAUGAAAGCCCCAGGCGUCAACCUGGGAAGUGCAUUCGAAACUGGCGUGCGUUGAAUAUGGGAAGAGGGGUCGCGGAAGUUCCCGGUGUAGAGGUGGAAAUUCGUAGAUAUCGGGAGGAACAACCAGUGGCCGAA
rnacentral:rRNA from 1 species